rnacentral:tRNA from 1 species
UACAUCUUGGUGUGUGGUGCACGGCAGCUUUUGAUGCUUGAAGGUGACAGUUUAAUUCUGUUGGAUGUAA